CGGGGGCGGGCGGCCGGGAGGAGGCGGCGGCGGCGGCGAGAGCCCAGAGCCUGAGCCGGCCGGGGCGAGCGGAGCGGAGAGGAGCGCGGCGCGACGCGGCGGCGGCGGCGGCGGCGGCUGGGCCGGGAGAGGCUGGCGCGCCGGGCGGCCCCGCGAAUCCUCCGGCAUCCGCCCCGGCGGGCCGCCCCCGCCCGCGGCAGCCCCCCGAACAGCGGCCCGGCACCGGCGCCUUCCCGGAGGGGUAAAUAUGGGGGGUCCGCGGGCCCGCCGAGGGGCGCAAACCCGGGGGGAAACGGGGCUCCUCCGCCUCUUUGUUUUUGCCGGGAGCGGAGGGCGACACGCGCGCGCUCGCGCGGGGCUGGGGGGGCACUCCGGGCGCCGCCCGCUCGGCCCGCGAGGACAAAGGCGCGGCUGGGGACCGAGGAGGGGGACUGUUAUUUUGCAGGCCUGGGGGGGAGGACCCCUCGGCCCCGGCCGCCGAGGCGGCUUCAGGGCCGUGACUUGGGGACGCCGAGGGAGGGACUGGGGUGCUGAGGGCACCCGAUACUGUUGAUUCGGGCUUCCCGGCCAACCCUGGGCUUCUGUCGGCUUCGCGGACCAUCACGGCCCCCCCCUGCUCCCUGGCCCGGGUGCCCCAGAGCCAGGGUCAGCAAGGCUGUUCCGCUGGCGGGAGGGGAGUCCGGAGGUGAUGGGGUGCCUGGUCGCCCAGGCCAAGGGCUUUGUUUUCCUUUGUGGAGAGAGGAAGGGGGGUUAUUUAUCGGACGCGAUUCUCCCAUUUGUGGGUGAGAAAUCCUGUUCUCUAGGUCUCUGGAAGCAAAACUGUGGGUGCCCCGACCUUAGAGAGAGGGUUCCCAACUGGAAGCACCCAAACUCAGGGUGUGGGGACCCCCCUCCCCAAGUUUGCCCUCAGUUUCUUUACAUGUUUUCUUGUUGGCCUAACCUCUCAGGCAGAAGGAUUGGGGGCAAGAAGGGUGUCCUAAGAUGCUUCCAGUACAGGGCCGGGCGUUUGGGUCUCCUUUGCCUGGGGGCUGGGAUACCCCUUCAGUUUUUAUCUUUAGGGUCCAGUGACAAGGGUCCUGCCUCUAGGGAAGGGAGGAGGUGUCAGGAAGUAAAAAACCUGCCCAUGUGGCCCUCUGGUUGGUAGUUUGUCUCAUUUUCUAACCCACUAAAACUCCUGACUCCAUGUCUGCCUGUUUUUUGUUUUUUUACUUUGUUUGUCUCCCCCCAUCCCUACCCCACCCUCAUGGGAAAAGCAGCCAGAGAACUGGAAAGUUUCCCCCAUUCUCGGAUGAACCCUUUCCCUUCUCCUUUGGGGGAUGCUGGGACACACAAGGCUCUCCCUAGGGCCCUGGGCCCCCAGCGCUGGGGAGGCCCUGCUGUCUGGGUGGCUGGCACAGAGCAGUUGGGGGGUCCUGGAGGGCUGGUGGUUUGCACCCCUGUUCCCUUCUCUGCAGACAGCCCGGUGAGCGAGGGGGGCUGUGGGGUUAUGUGCAGUAUAUUUAUG
rnacentral:lncRNA from 1 species